rnacentral:rRNA from 1 species
CGAAAGCCUGACGGAGCAACGCCGCGUGGGGGAAGAAGGUUCUUGGAUUGUAAACCCCUUUUCUCAGGGAAGAAGUUCUGACGGUACCUGAGGAAUCAGCCUCGGCUAACUCCGUGCCAGCAGCCGCGGUAAUACGGAGGAGGCAAGCGUUAUCCGGAAUUAUUGGGCGUAAAGCGUCCGCAGGUGGCGAUUCAAGUCUGCUGUCAAAGCACGGGGCUUAACUCCGUUAAGGCAGUGGAAACUGAAUAGCUAGAGUGCCGUAGGGGUAGAGGGAAUUCCCGGUGUAGCGGUGAAAUGCGUAGAUAUUGGGAAGAACACCGGUGGCGAAAGCGCUUUGCUGGACCGAACCUGACGCUGAGGGACGAAAGCUAGGGGAGCG